AGCGAACGCUGGCGGCAGGCUUAACACAUGCAAGUCGAACGGGCACUUCGGUGCUAGUGGCAGACGGGUGAGUAACACGUGGGAACGUACCUUUCGGUUCGGAAUAAUACAGGGAAACUUGUACUAAUACCGGAUACGCCCUUUGGGGGAAAGAUUUAUCGCCGAUUGAUCGGCCCGCGUCUGAUUAGCUAGUUGGUGAGGUAAUGGCUCACCAAGGCGACGAUCAGUAGCUGGUCUGAGAGGAUGAUCAGCCACACUGGGACUGAGACACGGCCCAGACUCCUACGGGAGGCAGCAGUGGGGAAUAUUGGACAAUGGGCGCAAGCCUGAUCCAGCCAUGCCGCGUGAGUGAUGAAGGCCUUAGGGUUGUAAAGCUCUUUUGUCCGGGAAGAUAAUGACUGUACCGGAAGAAUAAGCCCCGGCUAACUUCGUGCCAGCAGCCGCCGUAAGAC
rnacentral:rRNA from 1 species